GUGAUACUUCCUUCGUUCCAAAAUACUUGUCAUUAAAAUGGAUAAAAAAAAUAUAUCUACAACUAAUAUACAUGUAGAUACAUCCCUUUUUAUUUAUUUUGAUGACAAGUAUUUUCGGACGGAGGGAGUACUAG
rfam:Triticum aestivum genome assembly, contig: Triticum_aestivum_CS42_TGACv1_scaffold_591870_7BS